rnacentral:tRNA from 1 species
GCCAGCAUGGUGUAGUGGUUUAAGCAUUGGACUACAAAUCUGGAGACCAGGGUUCGAAUCCCUGCUCAUCCA